GACGAACGCUGGCGGCGUGCCUAAUACAUGCAAGUCGAGCGAAGUUUUUCUGGUGCUUGCACUAGAAAAACUUAGCGGCGAACGGGUGAGUAACACGUAAAGAACCUGCCUCAUAGACUGGGACAACUAUUGGAAACGAUAGCUAAUACCGGAUAACAGUAUUUCUCGCAUGAGAGAUAUUUAAAAGUUGGUUAUGCUAACACUAUGAGAUGGCUUUGCGGUGCAUUAGCUCGUUGGUGGGGUAAAGGCCCACCAAGGCGACGAUGCAUAGCCGACCUGAGAGGGUGAUCGGCCACACUGGGACUGAGACACGGCCCAGACUCCUACGGGAGGCAGCAGUAGGGAAUCUUCCGCAAUGGGCGAAAGCCUGACGGAGCAACGCCGCGUGAGUGAAGAAGGAUUUCGGUUCGUAAAGCUCUGUUGUUAGGGAAGAAUGGAUAUGUAGUAACUAUACAUGUAAGAGACGGUACCUAACCAGAAAGCCACGGCUAACUACGUG
rnacentral:rRNA from 1 species